rnacentral:tRNA from 1 species
AGAGCGGUGUCCGAGUGGUCGAAGGAGCACGAUUGGAAAUCGUGUAGGCGGCAACGUCUCGAGGGUUCGAAUCCCUCCCGCUCUGCCA